GAGGAACGCUGGCGGCGUGCUUAACACAUGCAAGUCGAACGGAAAGGCCCUGCUUUUGUGGGGUGCUCGAGUGGCGAACGGGUGAGUAACACGUGAGUAACCUGCCCUUGACUUUGGGAUAACUUCAGGAAACUGGGGCUAAUACCGGAUAGGAGCUCCUGCUGCAUGGUGGGGGUUGGAAAGUUUCGGCGGUUGGGGAUGGACUCGCGGCUUAUCAGCUUGUUGGUGGGGUAGUGGCUUACCAAGGCUUUGACGGGUAGCCGGCCUGAGAGGGUGACCGGCCACAUUGGGACUGAGAUACGGCCCAGACUCCUACGGGAGGCAGCAGUGGGGAAUAUUGCACAAUGGGCGGAAGCCUGAUGCAGCAACGCCGCGUGCGGGAUGACGGCCUUCGGGUUGUAAACCGCUUUCGCCUGUGACGAAGCGUGAGUGACGGUAAUGGGUAAAGAAGCACCGGCUAACUACGUG
rnacentral:rRNA from 1 species